UGCAAAAUACGACAACACAAACUGUGAGUUUAAAUACAAAUAGUCUUCUAGACAAUAUCCACACCCAGAUAAAGUCCUCAUUACAAUUAUUGAUACACUAUUUUACAAAAAUAGUGAGGACUGCUAAAACAACUAUUUAGGACCAUCACUCUAAACCCCGACUGGUUCCUGCUAUAUUCUCGCUUCCUGAGAAGAAAAAUGGAACAAAAAGAAAAAGGGUGAGCUCAACUAGCCCAGUAAAGAAUAUUAUGACUAAGAUAAUAUACAACAAAUUAUCCUUGGUCUUCAAUAGGGAAAAAUUUGAUAGAAUAUAAUAGACAACAAGUUUUAGAUCAACAACUACAGCGGAAACAACAAUUCAUUAGAAGAGUUAAGUAGAGAAUGAAAUCUACUAUCAUAUAUGAAUUUAAAAGUCCAUCAUCAAUAUUUUAUCCCUGUAACAUUAAUCAAUAUACAUCUUGCAUCAAAUAUUCAUCUUUGCACAACGGGCCAAAGAUAUUCAUUUGUAUCACCAGUUGGUCAUGUUCAUCUCAACACCUGUUCAUCUUUGCACUACGGGCCAAAGGUAUUCAUCAGGUAAUCAUUCAUCUUUGCACUACAGGCCAAAGAUAUUCAUCAAGUAUCACCAUUAAGGACUGAGGAUGAUGAAAAAUAUUUUAGAGAAAACGAAUCCAGUGAGACAGAAGGACAAAUAUUAGGGAUUCGUAUUUCGGUUUAUCCAAAUUCAAUAAUUCUCCAUAAUAACCAAUUGUGAAGUAGAAUUCCAAAAUAAAGAUCAAAACAUGGAUACAAUCAAAGAUAGUAACCAUAAAAGACAUAUGGGACAAAGAAUAGAAAAUUUUAUUUUUCGGUGAAUAGUAUCGUAUUUGUGAAUAGUGUCGUAUACGUGAAUAGUAACCCCGACACAAAAAGGUAGAAAUUCCACAAUCAAACUCAUAUCAAUAUUUCGGCAUAAUGAUAUUGAAGAAAAUAAUAUCAUUUAAGAAGAAAAUAACAUCCCUUGCCUCAAAGAAACAGUACUUCGGAAUGGAAUAUCGGAUAUGAUGCUGAAUAAAACUUGUACUGAAUAGCAACUCUCAAAGUAUCUAAAUACUCACAAAAUACGCUAGAUAAUAUAGAGAGAGAAAGCUUAUGUUUCUGGUGUGAUUUUCAAUUCUAAGCACCUAUUUAUAGGUAAAUGCUAGCACGCCGAAACAGACUUGACCGGUCAUGCUACCUGAUGGUUUUACCUGCUACUAUUGCCACCCACCACAUUUGAAAUAAAAUUUGAGCACAUUUCUUCACCAACCACAGGUGGGGCCCACUCAUUCUAGAAUUUUUCACCAAAAUUAUAAAUUUAGAAACUUUAACAAUUUCUGAACCAGUCACCUCUUAAAAUUCAUAACAAAUCAUACGUUAAUUUUUAACCGUUCAAAAUUUGUGGACAUAUACAACUUAUAUAUGUAUAACAUAUCCAAAAAUCACAACGAUCCAAUGGUCGGAUUAAAAAUUAUAACUCACGCAAUACAUCUCAAGAACACUGAUUUUUCGGAUUAUGAGUCCUUCGGACCAGUUUCCUUCCAACAGUCACCACGAAAAAUUCACAAUGAAUUUUUGGGUGAUUUCAGUUUUUACGGUUAGCUUACUUCUAGGGCUUUCUUUUGAUAUAUGGCUCAUCUUCUAAUUCAUUAUACACAAAGAGUUGUGGAUUUUACAAAAUCAAGUAAUAAACUAAUUUUUCUAAAAAUCCCAUAUUUUGUUCUUCAUUUCGACAAAAUACUGAUAAAACACCUCAGUUUUAAUUCCUUCAUUUACAACCACAUAAAAUAUAUCCAUCAUUUAUAUCCACAUAAAAUAAAUAUUUCCUUAUCAUAUAAAUCAAUAAAUAAUUAUUCACAAAUAAUAUUACAGAAUCACAAAAAUGACAACCAGGCCGUUACCAAGAAAGAGGGGGCUUUUCGAUAAUGAUUUCUCCUUACUGGCACGCAAUUAGGUGACCAAACCUUUCCUUGACAGAACUUUCUAGACAUUGCCAAUAAUGCUAUCUAAUAAUAUUAUUCAAAUAAUAUGAAUUAUUGAUCUGAUAAUGGGAAAUACUGUGCAAUGACAAUUAUUGAAANNNNNNNNNNNNNNNNNNNNNNNNNNNNNNNNNNNNNNNNNNNNNNNNNNNNNNNNNNNNNNNNNNNNNNNNNNNNNNNNNNNNNNNNNNNNNNNNNNNNUACUGUAACAAUUAUUGAGUUGUGCUUUCUUACGUAAGAAUCAAUAAUUUAAAAAUACUGUGCAAUACCGUGUGCUACUGUGCAACCACGCGUAUUACUGUAUUUUAACCACCGGGUAUUCCAACAGUGUUAACGGUAACAACUAUGUCGUUUAUUUAUAAAAACUCAAACUUGUCGUUUUUUCUUCAUCCGACAGUUAUUCUGUUAUGGGGCUCACAAAUGGCUGCGCCGUCGUACGAAUAUUCCCGACAACAAGAAUAUUCCACGACCAAACGAACCCCGACAACAAUGAAUAUUUUAUAACCACUUGCUUAAUUUAUAAAAUUUGCACAUUUAACCCAUAACCAAAGUAUUAUAUCAAAUUAUUACCUUAUUAUUUCAAGAUAAUAAAUAGGGAAAUUCAAUUUUAUUUAUAAUAAGUUGGGGUCUUAUAGUUGUAAUUUUAAUAUUCAGAAUGGAUAAUUUUAUUAUAGUUGUAAUUUUUUGAACUUGUACCAACUUUAAAUUAUAUAAAUGAUGAUACAUUUGUAAUAUUUAGUUUAAUUCAAUAUAAUUUUUAAAUUAUGUUUUGUUUGUUUUAAUAUUGAAUUAAAUUCUUGAAAUUUUAAAUUUUAUUAUUUAAUAGCUAUUUUGUUUAUGAAUAAAACUAAUACGCUAAAAAUAUGUUUAAACUUUGAACAAUUGCAAUUUAAUUAUUUAAUAGCUAUCUUGUUUAUGAAUAAAACUAAUACGUUAAAAAUAUGUUUGAACUUUGAACAAUUGCAUGUUUAUGUUUGAACUUUGACAUUAACAAUAUGGAUAUGUGUUUGAAUUUUAAGCAAAUGCCUUUAUUAUCUUUAUUGUAUGUUGUUUUGCUUUAUAUUAUUGUUUUGUUUGGAUAAAUGUAAGAUAAAAUAUUAAAAUUGGCUUAAAAUAAAAAAUCCCGCCCAGGCCCCUUUAGGCCCCCUCCGCCCUCCCGCCUAGCGCCUUUUAGAACAUUGAUUGUAAUGCUUUUUUUCAUUUUCUGAUUCUAUGCGCAUGUUGUUGUUUCAUUCAGGGGAGUUAUAAACCCAUUUUUGUUGAGAACUCCCUUUCCAAUUCCAUGUUACUAUUUUUCAGCUCAUAUCCUCCAAGAUGGCCUGAUAUUUCAUAUGAUUGCAUGAAGUCCACUUGAUUUUAUAUUGCCUUAGUUUUUUAGCAUAAUUUCAGGCAUUUGGCUAUAAUGAUUGCUAAAAGUCACCUUUGUUUUUCCUCUUCGAAUUUUUACAUUGACAAUAAUGUGUUAUAUGGAUCCAAAAUUCUCUGGUAUUACAUUCAUAUUACUUUGUUUAUUCUCAUUCUGUGGUCUUUCUCAUGGUGUGUGAGUGAUUUAUAUGUUACCCUCAUUAACUCGUUAAGCUACCUAGUUGCUAGUUGUCAUUCUUUUGAGUAGAAUUUUUUUGACAUCCCCUGAUCGGAACUGGAAAUCAGAAAUUUUAGUGAGAAUUACAAUACAUUUUUUUAUGAGGUUCUGCUUGCAAAAAAAGAAAUCUGCUGCUGCAAACUUUGUUUCCCAAUAGACUUUGAGGAAUUUUUUGUAAUUAAAAAACAGCAAUCAUGAUAUUUUCCUAUUGGAGCAAACCGAUCAAGCAUGUCUAUUCCUCCAACCCCCCAGGUAUUGCUGAUUAUUUCUAGGCCUGGCCCUUCAUUAUCAUAUCCUUUUUGAACUAGUUACUGAUAUAAUCUUCAAACCGACCAGAGGACAUAAUUAGUCUGACUAGAAGUCUUUGGAUGAAACUACAUUAAAACUACGAAUUGGAUGCAUAGUGCUUGGAGAUUCUAUGGAAUAUGUUAUGUUGGUCUCUCUAAGAAUCUUGCCAAGGGCCAAGGCCAGGACAUGGAAUAACUUUACUUUGGUUGGAAGUAUGCAUUUUUUCCUGCAUCACAGGCUCAAAGACCACAAACUGUUUGAUCUGAUGUAAAUCUCAAUGAGUAACAAUCAAAUGAACCACAUGAAGCAUUGGAUUUUUUUCCUCUUUUUUUUUGGACAGGUCGCAUGAAGAAUAAGAUCUAACUUUAUUCAUUCGUAAUGCCUUUUAUAGAAUCUUCUUGUUUUAUCUAAAAUGUAAAAGUACUUACCGGAUCAUCUACUGCAUUCAUCCGUAGUGUAGAUGUAACAUGUACUAGUAAAUCAGUGUAAAUGAAUUUUGCUUGUGUAAUCUUUUGAAGGUACCUGAACUUGUCAAAAACUAAUAAUAUUUGAAGGUACUUGUAAAAGUUAAAACAAAAUAUACUUUGCUAAUAUUUUACAGCUUCCGGGUUCACACAGAAGAUGAUCAUCCUCCUGGGCAAUGGAAAACAGUUCCUUGCUUGCUUUCUAUUUUUCCUGUAGAUUAUUAUCAUGUAUUGUUAAAAGUGUAUUAUGAUUGUUGAUAGGCAGGCAUAUGGGGGAAAAAGGAAUAGGCUCCUUGCUUGUUGUAUUGUUUUAAAUGUAUCAAGAUUGUUGAUAGGCAUGGCAUGUAGGGAAAGGGAAUAAAUAGGCUGGGCUACUUGUUUAUAUACUAUGCGAGUCUGACACACAAUACUUUGGUACUGGUUAAAUAAUUUUUAAUAUUUUC
rnacentral:lncRNA from 1 species